AGUCGGGGACGGACCGGGACAGUCGGACUGCAGGACUUCGUCUCAGCCAGGGCAGCCGGCCGGAACUACUGCCUGUGAAACGCAGCCUGAUUCUUUGAGGCAUGGUCUCUGCCUCUCUUCACACACUGGGAUCUCGAAGAUGAAAAAACUUUUUCUCUCAAAACUUCCUGUACCUUGUCCCGAGGAGCAGCCAGAUCUGACAGAAGCGGUUGUCUGUUUGAAGUAGCCAGAGGACCCGGAACAUAGUUCACCUGGUAGAGCGCGCACUUUGCCUGACACCGUGCCAGGGCCCCCCGUUCCCCCCAAUACACAUGCCACUUGGGAGCUCCGUGCAAGGCAAGAGGGACAGAGCUGUCCUCAGUCUUUUCUCCUCCCAGUGUCUCUGUAUUUGAAAAUUCAAACCAGGAAGAGGCAGAGCGGGUUGGCAGGCUAUUUUCCCCACUCCAGGAAAAAAACAAAACAAAAAACAGUGGGGAGGGGUCAAGUAGAUCAGCAUUAUAACGCAGGGCCUGUAUGUGUCAUCUAAGGAUUUGGAGAGCCCUGAUCAGCUCUGGCUUACAGUGGUACAGGGUGCAGGGAAUUGAACCUGGGACUUUGGACCCUCACAAGGAGGAACUGAGACCCAGAGACGCUACCUGACUUUCCCUGCUGGUAAUCAGGAAAAUGAAAACUUGUAUCUCCAAACUCUUAGAGAAGAGAAAGAGGGAGAGGGGCAGAAGAGACACAUGACAGCAUACCACUAAAGCCUCCUCUGCUGCCACAGCACCUGCUAUGUGAUACUGGCAUCUGAACCUGGAUAACACACCUGGCAGGACACGCACGAUCUUUCUGGUUACUCAGAGAGCCUCAACAUUGAUCUCUGAGGCCUGAGGAUGACUCAGGCAGUAAAGCAUGGGCCAUACCAUGAUUGUGCUUGCAGCAAGUAACCUCAAGGGAUGAGGUAAUGUUUCCCUCUGGGACAUAGAACAAGCUUGCUGACUACCUGCUACCUGCUUCUGAAAGUCCGCUCAAGUACCCACCUGUGCCCUCCACUUUGAAUGUGGGAGGUGAGGGGAACUGAUGCAGACAAACGUGAUGCUUGUGCCACUUGUUGAGCUGUGAGUACUAGGGUCCUUUAUCUCUGACCCACAAGUCUCUUGACUCCUGCCAACGUCUAGGAAAACAGUAAACUUGAGGGGCCAGGAGACAGCUCGCCUGGUAGAAUGCAUGUUGUACCAUGUCAGAGAGCCUGGGUCUCAGCCCCAGCUUCACAUGAGAAUACCACAACACCAGGGGAAGUUCCACAAAUGGUGGAGGGGUGCUCCAGUGCCUCUUUUCUCUCUCUCUCUCUCUUAAAAAAGACUGAAAAAGGCAGUGGAUAAAGCAUCAGAUUCUCAAGCAGGAGUUUCCAAGUUCUAUCCCCAGUAUUGCAAGUGCUGGAGUGGUACAGGUU